rnacentral:rRNA from 1 species
GAGCGAACAGGAUUAGAUACCCUGGUAGUCCACGCCGUAAACGGUGGAUGCUGGAUGUGGGGCCCGUUCCACGGGUUCCGUGUCGGAGCUAACGCGUUAAGCAUCCCGCCUGGGGAGUACGGCCGCAAGGCUAAAACUCAAAGAAAUUGACGGGGGCCCGCACAAGCGGCGGAGCAUGCGGAUUAAUUCGAUGCAACGCGAAGAACCUUACCUGGGCUUGACAUGUUCCCGACAGCCGUAGAGAUAUGGCCUCCCUUCGGGGCGGGUUCACAGGUGGUGCAUGGUCGUCGUCAGCUCGUGUCGUGAGAUGUUGGGUUAAGUCCCGCAACGAGCGCAACCCUCGCCCUGUGUUGCCAGCACGUCAUGGUGGGAACUCACGGGGGACCGCCGGGGUCAACUCGGAGGAAGGUGGGGAUGACGUCAGAUCAUCAUGCCCCUUACGUCCAGGGCUUCACGCAUGCUACAAUGGCCGGUACAACGGGAUGCGACACGGCGACGUGGAGCGGAUCCCUGAAAACCGGUCUCAGUUCGGAUUGGAGUCUGCAACCCGACUCCAUGAAGGCGGAGUCGCUAGUAAUCGCGGAUCAGCAACGCCGCGGUGAAUGCGUUCCCGGGCCUUGUACACACCGCCCGUCAAGUCAUGAAAGUGGGUAGCACCCGAAGCCGGUGGCCUAACCCUUUGUGGAUGGAGCCGUCUAAGGUGAGACUCGUGAUUGGGACUAAGUCGUAACAAGGUAGCCGUACCGGAAGGUGCGGCUG